rnacentral:rRNA from 2 species
AGUAGGGAUACCCGCUGAACUUAAGCAUAUCA